CACGUAGGGGGCGAGCGUUGUCCGGAUUCAUUGGGCGUAAAGAGCUCGUAGGCGGUUCGAUAAGUCGGGUGUGAAACCUCCAGGCUCAACCUGGAGACGCCACCCGAUACUGUCGUGACUAGAGUCCAGUAGGGGAGCGUGGAAUUCCUGGUGUAGCGGUGAAAUGCGCAGAUAUCAGGAGGAACACCAGCGGCGAAGGCGGCGCUCUGGGCUGGAACUGACGCUGAGGAGCGAAAGCGUGGGGAGCGAACAGG
rnacentral:rRNA from 1 species